rnacentral:rRNA from 1 species
UCAAGGAAGAAGAUUGGACGGUACUUGAUGAAUAAGCCACGGCUAAUUCCGUGCCAGCAGCCGCGGUAAUACGGGAGUGGCAAGCGUUAUCCGGAAUUAUUGGGGGUAAAGAGUCCGCAGGCGGUCUUGUAAAUCUGUCGUUAAAGCGGGGAGGUUAACUCCAUUUCAGCGAUGGAAACUGCAAGACUAGAGUGUGGUAGGGGCAGAGGGAAUUCCCGGUGUAGCGGUGAAAUGCGUAGAUUUCUG